AAGCUUUGUAGCUUUUUUAGAAUUUGUCUAGCAGAUUUUCCAGUUUUUAUUAGAAAACCCCC
ensembl:snRNA U7 U7 small nuclear RNA